rnacentral:misc_RNA from 1 species
UUGCAAGAGCACAGCUAACAGCCCUGGACAACAACGAAAGCACUAAUCGUGCGCUUGUUCAUGAUGCUGAGAGCAACCCAAUUUAUAGGCAGGCAUUCAAUAAGGCCAAGAAGUACUGGAUCGUAAAAAAGCGGUACUGUACUAAGACGCACCGUUUCUGCCAUGAAAUCUUGGUAACUGCCCUGGAUAUGCAGAAAGGAUGUGAAGAAGCAAGAUAUGCCUAAAUUCCAGCAUUACCAAAAAAUAUAGCUGCGCAGCCAUGCCCACCUAAGGCAGAACUUGUGGAGAAUACACCAAUCGAGGUUCCCGGAGACAGCGAGAACACACAAGUUUUAGUAAGAUGGCAGCACCUCACUGUAACCAUUUAUGCGCAUCCGCAGAGAAGAUGACUGCCCCCAUGGUUUAAGACAAAGCUGUUUUGAAAGACGUGCCGCUCCUGGACCCACUUCGAGUGUCAGGAGAUAGAGAAAACCAAUCAAGAUAUUUGGGCCAAAUUGGAAGGCGAUUACAUAUGCAAGGCAUGCCACAUAAACUACGAUGGAUCAUUUGACUACCUAAUGGGAUUGGAGCGCCUUAAACAGGCUGCAAAGCAAGGAAUGACGAAGCUCACGUGUAUUGCACGGAGGGAAUGGCUACUUCUGAAG